CCUACGGGUGGCAGCAGUGGGGAAUAUUGCACAAUGGGGGAAACCCUGAUGCAGCGACGCCGCGUGAGUGAAGAAGUAAUUCGUUAUGUAAAGCUCUAUCAGCAGGGAAGAAAAUGACGGUACCUGAGUAAGUAGCCCCGGCUAACUACGUGCCAGCAGCCGCGGAACUACGUAGGGGGCAAGGGUUAUCCGGCUUUUCGGGUGUAAAGGGGGGGUUGAGGGGAGGGCAAGGUUGGAGGGAAAGGCAGAGGCUCAACCCCCGGACUGCUCUGGAAACGGUACGGCUGGAGUGCAGUAGAGGUAAGUGGAAUUCCUAGUGUAGCGGUGAAAUGCGUAGAGAUUAGGAGGAACACCAGUGGCGAAGGCGGCUUACUGGACUGUAACUGACGUUGAGGCUCGAAAGCGUGGGGAGCAAACAGGAUUAGAUACCCGUGUAGUC
rnacentral:rRNA from 1 species